rnacentral:rRNA from 1 species
UAACUGACGCUAAUGCUCGAAGGUGCGGGUAUCGAACAGGAUUAGAUACCCUGGUAGUCCGCACGGUAAACGAUGGAUGCCCGCUGUAUGCGAUAGACAGUAUGCGGCCAAGCGAAAGCGUUAAGCAUCCCACCUGGGGAGUACGCCGGCAACGGUGAAACUCAAAGGAAUUGACGGGGGCCCGCACAAGCGGAGGAACAUGUGGUUUAAUUCGAUGAUACGCGAGGAACCUUACCCGGGCUUGAACUGCAGGAGAACGAUCCAGAGAUGGUGAGGCCCUUCGGGGCUCCUGUGGAGGUGCUGCAUGGUUGUCGUCAGCUCGUGCCGUGAGGUGUCGGCUUAAGUGCCAUAACGAGCGCAACCCCUCUUUUCAGUUGCCAUCAGGUAGAGCUGGGCACUCUGGAGACACUGCCACCGUAAGGUGUGAGGAAGGUGGGGAUGACGUCAAAUCAGCACGGCCCUUACGUCCGGGGCUACACACGUGUUACAAUGGGUGGUACAGAAAGCAGGAGUGCCGCAAGGCGCUUCGAAUCCUGAAAGCCAUCCUCAGUUCGGAUUGGGGUCUGCAACCCGACCCCAUGAAGCUGGAUUCGCUAGUAA